GAUUAAAUGGCUGAUAAAAGUAAUAGAUUGUAAAUCUAUAAAUGAAAUAAAAUAAAUUUCUUUAAUCA
rnacentral:tRNA from 1 species